CAGCAUUACAAAUUUAAAUUUCAUCAUUUGCAAGCGUAAUAUUUAACUUACUUUGUAAAUUAGUACUAUUUAUCACCGGUAAAUAGAUGUAUUUUUACAGUAAACGAAGAUGGCAAACACUUUGCUUGCUGUAUGUUUUUUUUACAUAUUGAUUCUCAUUUUCCAAAGGCUGACAGAUAUAU